UGUUUAUGGGUUUUUAUCAUAAAUAUUUUCUGCCCGGUGAUUUUUAACGGCCGCGGUACUCUGACCGUGCAAAGGUAGCAUAAUCAUUUGCCUUUUUAUUGGGGGCUGGAAUGAAGGGGAUUACGUGAUCUUGGCUGUCUCUUUUUUUUGUUGGAAAUUGCUGUUUUUGUGAAGAAGCAAAGGUUUUAAAAAAAGACAAGAAGACCCUAUUAAGCUUUAUUUAUUGUUUUAUAGAAAGUUGCUUAUAAGUAAGUUUUUAUAUUUUUUAAAUUUAAUUGGGGUGAUUGAAGAAGAAGAAAUCUUCUUUUGUAUAAGUAACUAUUUGUUUAAAAUGGGGCCAGAAAUUCUGAAAAAGAGAAUAAGUUACUAUAGGGAUAACAGCGUAAUCUUUUCUGAGAGUUCUUAUUGAAGAAAAGGAUUGCGACCUCGAUGUUGACUUAUUAUAUCCUCUUGUGGCGCAGUAGCCCGAAGGGUUAGUCUGUUCGACUAUUAAAAUAGU
rnacentral:rRNA from 1 species